CAAAGUUGAUCGUGUUUAUGACGUCGAAUAUCGACGUCAUAAACACCAAAGUUGAUCGUGUUUAUGACGUCGAAUAUCGACGUCAUAAACAUCAAAA